rnacentral:lncRNA from 1 species
GCAGAUCACUUGAGCCCAGGAGUUUGAGACAAGCCUGGGCAAAGUGGUGAUACCCUGUCUCUACAAACAAAACAAAACAAACAAACAAGAAAAACAGAAAUUAACCAGGCAUGUUUUCACACACCUGUAGUUCCAACUACUUGGGUGGCUGAAGUGAGAGGAUCUCUUGAGCCUGAGAGGUGGAGAUUGGAAUGAUCCAUGUUUGUGCUACUGCACUCUAGCCUGACCAACAGAGCAAGACCCUGCCUCCAAAAGAGAGAAAGAGAGAUGUAGAUGGAAUGUAUCAGCAAAUUAAUUGUAAAGCUUUCAUUCAUGACUCCAGAGAGACCUUUCCUCACUGCUGUGUCUGAAGCAAACUCACAUUCCUGCCAACUUUCUCUAAGGAUAUUACACUGUUUACCUGCCUCUUCAAGAUCCUUAGGCCUUACAUCCCUGGUGCACUAUUCUAACUCCGGUGCCAAACACGUAACAGCACUCAAGAAAUGACUUGUUAAAGGAGUAAAUCUGAAUGUCCUAUUUGAUGUUGGGCCCUUAGAGGACAAGAGUAAUAUUUGUUACUUUGUGCAUCUUUAGUGCCAAGCAAAAUGUUCCACAAAUAUUUGGAGUACACUUAAAUAGUUUCUCAAAUAAAUUAUCACACUUGGAAAAAAA